GCCCGUGUAGCUCAGUUGGUAGAGCAGGUGACUCUUAAUCACUUGGUCGGGGGUUCGAAUCCUCCCGCGGGCAC
rnacentral:tRNA from 1 species